rnacentral:rRNA from 1 species
CCUACGGGUGGCUGCAGUCGAGAAUCAUUCACAAUGGGGGAAACCCUGAUGGUGCGACGCCGCGUGGGUGAAUGAAGGUCUUCGGAUUGUAAACCCCUGUCAUGUGGGAGCAAAUUAAUAAGAUAGUACCACAAGAGGAUGAGACGGCUAACUCGGUGCCAGCAGCCGCGGUAAUACAGAGGUCUCACGCGUUGUUCGGAAUCACUGGGCGUAAAGCGUGCGUCGGCUGUUUCGUAAGUCGUGUGUGAAUGGCGCGGGCUCAACCCGCGGACGGCACAUAAUACUGCGAGACUAGAGUAAGGUAGGGGGAACCGGAAUUCGCGGUGUAGCAGUGAAAUGCGUAGAUAUCGGGAGGAACACUCGUGGCGAAGGCGGGUUCCUGGACAUAAACUGACGCUGAGGCACGAAGGCCAGGGGAGCGAAAGGGAUUAGAUACCCCAGUAGUC